GAUUGCAGAAGCAAAACAGCUCAAGGUUCAAUCAUCCUUGUGUGAAGAAACCACCCACAAAUCUAAGUGUUAGCAACCUUUGGCUCCAUCAAUCAUCAACAAACCUGCAUUCAACACCCACAAAGUCUAUUAAUCUUGUGUUCAUACUAUCAUCUCCAAAUGAUCCAGACAAAUAAACUUAUCAAAAGUCGUAUGACCGACAGCGAAGAAAAUUACCGACCGCAUAAGCAUCAUAUAAAACAAACAACGACAUCCUAUUUUAUUUGAGAGUAGUAAGCAGGUCAAAAAUCCGCCGACUGGCUGCGAGUUAAAUCAUUUUUUGAUUUCAAGAACUUAACAUGUAAAAAAAAAAAACUAUACAUGUGUUCGCCUCGUUUAAUUUUCCAGAAAAUUUAUGAAACCCGUUUAUGCAGAUAUAGAAUUUUUUCUCUAAAAAAUCAUUAUUUAAAAAAAAAAUUGUUGUUUGUUAAGUUUAUAGUUAUCCACUAUUAAAAUUCCACUGAAUUAAUAGAUUUAGAGAGAAAGUUUCUCUCUCGAACUCUCUUCCUCUCUUAUCUAUCUAAAAUCUUUCAGAGAGGUUAGAGAUUGUUUUGGGAACGAGAGAGAUCUUUGUUUUUUGUUUUCCAGUUUCGGUUUUAUCCGACCGGCCACUGUCUCCGGCGUUCUCGCCUUCUCCUCCGGUGCUGGACGGCUGGCUUUUGUUUCUGGGUUGCGGUGGUUUCUUCAGCUCCGUUUCGCCGGCUUGUGUCUCCGCGUCAUGUCUCUUUGGUGUUGACGGCGGCUUUUCACCGGAAUUUUUCCAACGAUUGAAUCUGUUGAAGACGUUGGUUCGGUGAGCGAUGUGAUAAACCGUGAAGAUGGCUCUAACGGCAGAGAUCUGUCGCCUCUCCUCUGUAGUGCCGGUGGAAGAUGGCUGACUCUCGUCUUGACACGUGUUUCAGGAUGCAAGGCGGCAGCUGUCAGUUUCUUCCUCAAUGGGUUUUCAGUUUGGGCUUACGGUUCAAAUUGGUUUUGUAUAGAAUUGCCCGUUUGUUGGGUCUUUUGUUUCUUUUAUGUAAGAUUGGGUCCAGUUGGGUCUUGAUCCUUUUUAAUAAAACAUCAGUGAAAAAAAAAAUUCCACUGAAUUCCCCA